CGCCGGCGCCGGGCGGGCACACUGGACCAGCGUUCCCAGAACACUCCGCGAAGGUGUUCCUGAACUUCAUUUCCCAGAGGCUUUAGCUAACGUGUACUUUCGCCCUGCGAUGGGCCGCACAUUUUCGCCGCCAGUCUUUUGCUCCUGUUUCAGGUAUGCGUGAGCCACUGCGCCCGGCCCCAACAUGUUUUUCUAAUGCUUAAGGAAACCCGGAGAUAAUAUUCCCAUGUUUUGCCACUUAGUAAAGCAUUUUAUAUGCCUGUGUCAGCGAGCACAUAGCUGCAAGUGUAGCCCAUGGCCAGUCUGUCACUGUGUCCUUGGCAGAAAAAAAGAAUCCAACAAAUCGGUAGGUUUUUAUAUUUAAGACAUGGCACUUGCAUUUUAUUAUGCUGGCGUGCAUCCCCAGCAUUUGGAUAAGGGGCCAAGGUCAAGUCUCUCAGACUGUUGGCUGACAAACAUUAAACCUGGAAAUCCUAACAGAGUGUAUGAAAAACAAUUACAGUCAAGGGAACAUGAUAGAGAAAGCUUCGGUCAUCUUAGAGAAUGCAUAUAUUGCCAUGAAGAGAACAUUGGUUUAAAAAAAAAUGUUCAAGAGAAUGAAAAGACAAGUCACAGACUGGGAGAAAAUACUUGCAAAGUACAUAUCUGAUAAAGAACUGAUAUCCAAAAUAUAUAAGAACUCUUAAAACUCAACAAUAAGGAGACAAACCGAUUAAAAAAAUAGGCCAAAGACCCUAACAGAUGUCACCAAAGAAGAUAUGCAGAUGGAAAAUAAGCAUAUGAAAAGAUGCUCCACAUAUGUCCUCAGUGAAAUGCAAAUUAAAACAAUGGGAUGCCACUAUACACCUGUCAAAAUGGCCAAAAUCCAGAACCCUGACAAUACCAAAUGCUGACAAGGAUGUGGAGCACAGGAACUUUCAUUCAUUGCUGGUGGGAAUGCAAAAUAUUAGAGUUACGUUGGAGGACAGUUUGACAAUUUCUUACAAAACUAAACAUACUCUUACCAUAUGAUCUAGUAAUUGUGUUCCUUGGUAUUUAUGCAAAGGAGUUGAAAAUGUAUGUCCACACAAAACGUGCCCAAGAAUGUUUAUAGCAGCUUUGUUCAUGAUAGGCAAAACUUGGAAGCAGCCAGAUGUCCUUCAGUACAUGAAUGAAUACAUAAACUAUGGUACAUUCAGACAAUGGAACAUUCAGUAAGGAAAAGAAAUGAGCUAUCAAGCUACCAAAAAGGAAGAACAGAAGAAUAUUAAGUGCGUAUUGACGCUUUCCUUCUGCAGACUGCCUUUCCUGACAAGAACAGACUCAGACAGUCUGUAGAGUGGUUCCGCCCCGAAGCUGAAAAAUAGUGUACAAAGCUGUCACGAAGUUUCCACUGCACAGCUCCAAUGUUCCAUUUGCUCUGGCGACAGAUCUUUCGGUGACCUUCGAAAGCGACAUCGAGAUUGACGAUGUAUAAGAAUCUGCCGCCAGAAAGCACUGCAUGUUGCCCAAGACAGUCACAGACAUCGCAGUUGCCUGGGAGUCACGAAACUCUACCACUACGUUCUCGCUGCUCCAUCGCGCCGCCAUCUCCCACUCUCGGCCGCCAAGGCCCCAGGACCGCGCCCUCCCAUCCACCAGACCCGGGUCCCCUGGCCCUCUGAGCCCUACACAGCCCGCGAGUCAGCCCUGACACGUCCAGUCCCCUGCUUCUUUGUGUUUUGAUAGAAAACAAAACAAAACAAAACAAAACAAAAACAUCUUGCCAAUCCAUUUGGCUUAUAAAAUAAUGUAUUGUGCACAUUUAUUAUAAUGAUAAUAAUUACAUAAGAAGUAAUUUGGGAGAAUGGGGUCCAAAAUCAGCUAUAGUAUAGUCAUGAGGGUUGCACCUGGAAGAGACUGCCUCUCUGAUGUUCAAAGUUUGAGAAUUAGUCCUUAAUGAAUAAAUGUAUAUAAUGCAAUUUUGAAGUUUAUACUUUCCUUGUUUGAACAGGAUAGAAUCAGCACUAAACAGAAACCAGUACAAUUCUCAAUAACAAAUUAUCUCAGUAGAGGUCCAAUAACCCUGUGAUAAAUAUGCGCCUGUUCUUCUCCACUGUCUGACCUACUUAUGUCUGCAUCAAGUAUCCCCAAACUGCUCUGUCAGGAAUAUACACCCGAAGAGCCCUCUGAGAACUGGUUUAACUAGUAUUUUGGCUUGUUUUGGGUGCACCUGUGACCUAAUUUACAAGACCAAGAUUAAUUAAAUGUUCAUGCACAAUUAAAAG
rnacentral:lncRNA from 10 species